GUUGUCUUUUUGUUUGCAUUUUGACCCUUGUAAAAAGGUAUCAGUUUUGUUGCCAGAUUAAAGAGUAAAAACCUAUUACAUCUUGCUACUGGCAAAGGAGAUCUCAUAACUGGUUAGCUAGUGACCUUAUUUUUUUCCAUUUUAUUUUUUAUUCUUGCUCACUCCAGUCGCGCGAAUGUAACAUUUGUAUAUAAUUUGUGUAAAUUUUGCAUGAACCAUAAAUACAUUGAAAUUUCACCUGUCUACUCUCCUUUUGUCGACGCUUAUUAGCCGACGUUAUUAUCUGCGCGGGAUGUUUUUUUGAAUGUGUGAAUAACAUGAAUGCUCCCUGAAGACGGGGGUUUACCACACCCAGACGUGUGUGCCCUGGUGCUCGGAAGUGCGAACCAAUAAUCUUGGCUAGGUUUAUGCGGCCUCUCGACUCGGCUCUCCCAUUUAGUUUAGUCUUUGUUCGCAGUGCAAUCAUUGAUCGUAUUAACGCAUCAGCUGAUCCAUCCUCGCCGUACAGUGCAGUGCUCCCAACCUUUAAUUCUGUUACUCGUUCAUCCCCCCGCGUGGCUGCAUUAAAACUGCAGCCCAUUUAGCGGCCGCUGUCAGCGGUUAACAAGUCUCACUGAAGCAGGGAGCUGUGUUGAUACAUUUUUCACGCGCGUGCGAGCGGUGAGGGGGAUCUUCGAUUAAGUUUUGGUCUUGUUUCGAGCAAACACGAAAUAUUACGCUCAGUUGGAAAGUGUGGAAGUAAGCGUCUGUAAUUUUCCGUGGCUCAUUAAAACGGCUGCCAUGAUCGCACAAGUAAUUUUUUGUUACAUUUUUAUAUUGAUUCCUACAAUAAUUAGAUCAGUAGUGUCGUGUUUAUUGUGGAUUUAUUUUGGAGUGUUAUAUUUUACAUUGCUUUACUUCUUGACAUUUAUUCAUUACGAAUUUAGGUUAAAGUAAGUGAAGUCUUUGUCCGUUUGUGUUGAAACAAGGCUUUGGGAGGUGCUCAACUCUGUUGGUGGCCUUGAUCCAGUGGUGGAAAUUCCACAUUACUAUUGCAGGUACAAGUCUCUUCUAGAAGUCACCAAGGUAGGCUCCAGAGGCUUGGCGACCAAUGGAGGCCCUAGAGUCACCGAUGCUAAAGAUCAGCUGUGGGCUGCGCAACAGUUUCCGGGAUCUAGCAGCAGGGAGGAAGAGAUGGCGAUGUGUGGUGGAAACAGCGGCAAUGCCUGUGGUCAUCUCCUGACCUUUGGGUGACUGCUAUUGCCCUCUCACAAUGGUGUAGGCUAAAUUAUUUACAUCAAAUCUGCAUACUUAUUUCCCCUGGGGUUUUUUUUUCACUGAUUUUGAUUUACACAAAUAUAUUCCACUGACAAACCUUAGUGUUUGUUUAAGCUCACCUGUAUUGUGUUACACCCACGUCUUUCUAGAUUGAGAUGUGCCGUCUCAAUGGACUCACACCUGGUUUUCACAAAAAAGCCUUUGUUUAACUGAUGGACCGAUUGAUGGGCAAAGUGGCUGGAGUGCAGUGCCCUUUUUGACUAUGAGGCUCAGUCAAUGUAAACACCCUACACUCUCAGCUGUGCGCCAUUGGUUAGCUGGGAGUGGGGUGUUUAUGUUGACUGCCUUAAGCAAGCUGCACAAACUGCAAUGCUCCUGGCGAGGGGGAAGAAUGGGCAAGCAGGCUUCCAUUCAGCCCACGCAGUCGCUCACAGUGGUGAGGUACGGGAUUAAUGUUUAAUCCGAACCUACUGCUGUCCAUUGUUUAUGCUGGUUGAUUCGGUAAGUUGCUUGUUUACUUAUAGGUUGAUUGGUGGUCAGAGAAGAAGUUGGUUCAUGUCGAUAGCUCUUAUAUUUUCUGCGUUGAAAAAUAAUACGUAGGCCUUGUGUUAAGGGCUGCCCGGCACAAAGUUUGAAGCAUCACGUGUGAAAAAAAAAAGCAUUUGAAGUCACGGUCAGCAGAGAUGUCGUGAUGUCACUGCAGUGUUGUAUUUGAUUGUACAUAGUGGCACAGCACUGAUGUUACCAGAGCACUCCUGGGUAACCUUAAAUGACUCAUCUCAGGAAGAAAGCUUCGAAACGUGUGUUUCACAGCCUUAGCCGCAGCCUAGGGGUGUAACUACAAGGCAAGGGCUGUUUGUUUUUGGUUGUCUUUGUAAAUUUUUCUGUGUAUUCCAAGAUUUUAUGUAUAAAUACAUAGCCUGCUCAGUGUCUGGAUAUGCUAUGCUUUUUUAAUAGUGUUCAGCCCUGAAAUCGUGUUGAUCCUCAAAACAGUUUAUAAAUACGCAUAUUUAAAAAAAGAAUACCGCUAAAAAGUCUGGCUGGCUUGUACAGUGAUUUGAGAUCAUACUUAAAACACUGGAAAAUGUUAAUAAAGCUGACGUGUUUAAAAUGUUGACAUAUAAACAGGUUUAAAUAAACAGUAGUUUUUCAUUACCAGAUAUUGUGUAGGAAACAGACCUUUAAACAGCCAAAAUGGACAUGUAUCCCAUAUUAGAAUAACAAACCAGUCCUUGUUAAUGCUAUAUAUGUGGACCCAGCAGAUGACAAUGCAGCAUGUAUCUUGAAAGUAUUUUUUUAUGAUUAAAUCACAUUCUUACCUUUGCAUGUUUUCUUCUUUUAGUAGUAGUCUUCCAUCACGGAGUCUCUAAAGUAUUGAAAUACAGCAGAGCUGAAAAGCACAAGCUUGGGGUCCAUGCUGUCGGACAAGGCUGAAGUGAUACCGAUGAAGACUGCAAGACAGGAGGACGACCCAUAGGAGAGUCACAUGCGCUGUUGCAACUCGUGGCUAAUUAUUAUUAUAGCCACCUCGAGCUCGGAGUCUUAAGGCGAUUUAAUAAGUUCUGUACGCAUACUUUAAAGAUGCAGUAUUUUUGUGAGCUAAUGAAAGCAGAAUUUUGCCAACGCAGAGCCAAACUAUACCGCCACAGUGAAAUAAGCUUAAAGGUUAAACAGAAUAUACUGAAACACAUUAGCUGGUUUAAAUGCUGAUGGAAAAUUACUGGUUUUGUCACCUACCAUUAGAUUCCAGAAUUUACACCAUUGGCUCCGUGCUGCAAUGAAGAUGAGCAUUGUCCCGCGCUCGUGUGACUAGGGAGACGUGCUUACUAACUCGUAGACCUGCAUGGUGCAGCGUAACCCAGUGGCAUUUACUUAUCAGGUAAUGACUCACUGAAGUCAAAACAGAUCUAAUUUGCCUUAAAAUUAAGUGUUCUUGCGAUAUAUUAUUCCAGAAAACACAUUGAUCAUGAAAAUAAAUGCUAUUUUAUUUUGGUUACUGAUCAUACACCUGUUUAUUCGUGAAAAAAAGUUGUGUUUCUGCGGGCUGCAUGGUUUCAGCUGAUAGCUCCAACUGUAUUUUUUACUGCUAAAUGCGUUCUUUUGUACGGAAAUUCGAGUCGCCUAAAAUUUGUAUCGUCGGAUUAAACUGGCCACCUCGGUGGUUUGUAAAGAGAUUGGGCUCUACCUUAGGAACGUUACAGUUCUACCACUGGCUCAUGUUGCUAGGAGAAAUGAGUACUGCGCAGUGCUCGUGAAAUCACCUUGACUUUGAAGCAAUGGAAGCUUUACCAAUUGUGGCUAGCUCUGGAUUUGAUUUUUGAAAAAUUAAACGUGAUGCUAUAAUAUUGCACGGAGUAGCAUAUGUCAUGCGAGCCUUUUUUGUUAUCAGUCGCUGUAUUCCAUGAAACUGGGUUAUUUUCCAAAUGUUUCUUAAUUUUGGUACAUUUUGUACGGCGCUUUAGUUUGUAAGGCCGGCUUGGCUCUGAACAUGGCACUUAGUGAAGCUUAAUCUUUGCCUGCCUUACCUGGUUCCCUUGCAUAAGUAUAAUUUGCAAGAAGCAAAACUUGAAAACCUGUUCGUGUACACGCGGUGCCUCUGUAUUGGCUCAUGUUGUGAUGCACAAGCGUGCGUGUGUGUGCGUGCGUGCGCGUGCGUGCGUGUGCGUGUGUGCGCAAGCGUGAGAAUAAACAACAAUGUGCUUGCUCUGCAGCGAGCGCAUUGACGCAUGGGCUGCCAGCUGUGCUCUGCGGAAAAAAUCCAUAUGCGCACGUAUACUGGCGCAGAAGGGAAGUGAAAUUGUUAUGCUAAUUGUGAUGCGAUAAUAAAAUCAAAUUGGACGAUGCCGAAACGUGCAAGCCUCCCGUACACUCAAAUAAAUCUCUUGCGCGGUAAAAACAAAAUAGCGGGUAAAACCGUGGAACAGAUGCCACUGAUGUCUGGACACUAUUGCGGUGGCAGUUGGUGUGAGUGAGACUUAGUGGAGUGUGGGAAGUGCAUAUUGGCUAGUCAAUGCGCACAGAAGUAGGGUCAUUGACAGUUGCACUGCAAUAGAACAUGCAUUAGCUCUAGCUGCUUGUGGUUAUCAAACUAAUCAUUGAGUCUCAUCAACAUUCUUGCUUUGACCUUUUUGGUCAUUCCAAGCGUGCACAUACCGCAUGUGAAUUGAUUUUAUUGGUGCAUAAGUGGACUGGUGGUGGAGUCUGCUCACGGAGUUUACGAAUCACGUAUACAGUAAUGUCUUUGUCUUUUGUCAACGUGACACUUUUUUGCUGAUUGGCCGUGUCGGGUGGUGGAGGGUUACGACACAUUUAUAAAUAACGCGAUCUAACCCAAAAACCUUUAUUAUGAAUAAUAUUGGUCGCGAAAGCCUAAGUAGUGUCUUUAGAAAUCUGUUGUGACAUUAUCAGGUCUGUCCUUUUGUAUGACAUUUCGAAAGCCAUUGGACCGUAUUUGUGGUGAUAAUGAAGAGUAUGGGUUUCCUUUGGUGCAAAAAUGACAAAGGAAAAAAAUGUUUACUUGCCCGAAAAACCAAAGGGUACAUUGGAGUUUGCAGCUGUGGUGCAAAUGGUAUUGACAAGGAUGCAUCAUCCAUCAUUAUUUGUAAUAAUAAAAUAAUGACCGCCUGGAA